GAUGGGCUCGCGGCCUAUUAGUUAGUUGGUGAGGUAACGGCUCACCAAGGCGAUGACGGGUAGCCGGUCUGAGAGGAUGUCCGGCCACACUGGAACUGAGACACGGUCCAGACACCUACGGGUGGCAGCAGUCGAGAAUCAUUCACAAUGGGGGAAACCCUGAUGGUGCGACGCCGCGUGGGGGAAUGAAGGUCUUCGGAUUGUAAACCCCUGUCAUGUGGGAGCAAAUUAAAAAGAUAGUACCACAAGAGGAAGAGACGGCUAACUCUGUGCCAGCAGCCGCGGUAAUACAGAGGUCUCAAGCGUUGUUCGGAAUCACUGGGUGUAAAGGGAGCGUAGGCGGGGAGGCAAGUUGAAUGUCUAAACUAUCGGCUCAACUGAUAGUCGCGUUCAAAACUGCCACUCUUGAGUGCAGUAGAGGUAGGCGGAAUUCCUAGUGUAGCGGUGAAAUGCGUAGAUAUUAGGAGGAACACCAGUGGCGAAGGCGGCCUACUGGGCUGUAACUGACGCUGAGGCUCGAAAGCGUGGGUAGCAAACAGGAUUAGAUACCCUGGUAGUCCACGCCGUAAACGAUGAUUACUAGGUGUGGGGGGACUGACCCCUUCCGUGCCGGAGUUAACACAAUAAGUAAUCCACCUGGGGAGUACGGCCGCAAGGCUGAAACUCAAAGGAAUUGACGGGGGCCCGCACAAGCAGUGGAGUAUGUGGUUUAAUUCGAAGCAACGCGAAGAACCUUACCAGGUCUUGACAUCGAGUGACGAACUUAGAGAUAAGUUCUUCCUUCGGGACACGAAGACAGGUGGUGCAUGGUUGUCGUCAGCUCGUGUCGUGAGAUGUUGGGUUAAGUCCCGCAACGAGCGCAACCCUUAUCAUUAGUUGCUACGCAAGAGCACUCUAAUGAGACUGCCGUUGAUAAAACGGAGGAAGGUGGGGAUGACGUCAAAUCAUCAUGCCCCUUAUGACCUGGGCUACACACGUACUACAAUGGUGAUCAAACAGAGGGAAGCAACACAGCGAUGUGAAGCAGAACCCGAAAAAUCAUCUCAGUUCAGAUUGCAGGCUGCAACUCGCCUGCAUGAAGUCGGAAUUGCUAGUAAUCGCGGAUCAGCAUGCCGCGGUGAAUACGUUCCCGGGCCUUGCACACACCGCCCGUCA
rnacentral:rRNA from 1 species